GCAGGACCCACUGGGCGUGACGCACGGGCGAGUGCGGGUGAGGGUGCAAUAUUUACCUUUACACAGGAUCGAGCGCCUGGCCCGGGAUUCGAACCGGCCGCCUUUCAUCCACAGGUCCAACUCCUGCCAAUGGUCCAAAUCCUUUGCUGCUGGACUACAUACUGCCACUACAGUUUGGGUUCCAGAGAGAAAAAAAGAGCAACAAUAUGAGUUAAUCUUCAGAAAUAUACAUCACAUUUCGAGAAGGAAGAGUGAAGAAGAGAAGGAUGAGGAGGAAGAGGAGGGUGAAAGAACUAGAUUGAAACAUUUCUCUGUUUUUAAAUAAAUAGAGAACUCUCACUCUCCUCCUCCUCCUCCUGUUCUGAUUGGAAGUGUGUUCGACCUUCAUCUCUCUCUGAGCCAGAGACAGCCCUCACAGCAGGAGACGCCUUCUACCCACAACCCCCUGCUGCGUGUUUCUACCACAGACAGAGGG